AACACUUGGAGAUGAGAGGGCUUU
rnacentral:piRNA from 1 species